rnacentral:rRNA from 1 species
AUUGAACGCUGGCGGCAUGCUUUACACAUGCAAGUCGAACGGUAACAGGCCGCAAGGUGCUGACGAGUGGCGAACGGGUGAGUAAUGCAUCGGAACGUGCCCAGUCGUGGGGGAUAACGCAGCGAAAGCUGUGCUAAUACCGCAUACGAUCUAUGGAUGAAAGCGGGGGACCGUAAGGCCUCGCGCGAUUGGAGCGGCCGAUGUCAGAUUAGGUAGUUGGUGGGGUAAAGGCCUACCAAGCCGACGAUCUGUAGCUGGUCUGAGAGGACGACCAGCCACACUGGGACUGAGACAAGGCCCAGACUCCUACGGGAGGCAGCAGUGGGGAAUUUUGGACAAUGGGCGCAAGCCUGAUCCAGCAAUGCCGCGUGCAGGAAGAGGGCCUUCGGGUUGUAAACUGCUUUUGUACGGAACGAAACGGUCUGGGUUAAUACCCUGGGCUAAUGACGGUACUGUAAGAAUAAGCACCGGCUAACUACGUGCCAGCAGCCGCGGUAAAAC